GUGUUGUAUGAAGGGACAGAAGGUCAGCACUACCCCUGACAAGGAACACACACAGGUUAAGGCAUUGCCACCUGCUUAGUGGCAUCUAACUAUCAUUUUUU
ensembl:snRNA